GACGAACGCUGGCGGCGUGCCUAAUACAUGCAAGUCGAGCGAAUCUUUAGGAGCUUGCUCCUGAAGGUUAGCGGCGGACGGGUGAGUAACACGUGGGCAACCUGCCUGUAAGACUGGGAUAACACCGGGAAACCGGUGCUAAUACCGGAUAAUUCUUUUCCUCACAUGAGGAAAAGCUGAAAGUCGGUUUCGGCUGACACUUACAGAUGGGCCCGCGGCGCAUUAGCUAGUUGGUGAGGUAACGGCUCACCAAGGCGACGAUGCGUAGCCGACCUGAGAGGGUGAUCGGCCACACUGGGACUGAGACACGGCCCAGACUCCUACGGGAGGCAGCAGUAGGGAAUCUUCCGCAAUGGACGAAAGUCUGACGGAGCAACGCCGCGUGAGUGAUGAAGGCCUUCGGGUCGUAAAACUCUGUUGUUAGGGAAGAACAAGUAUCGGAGUAACUGCCGGUACCUUGACGGUACCUAACCAGAAAGCCACGGCUAACUACGUGCCAGCCGCCGCAGUAAUAC
rnacentral:rRNA from 1 species